GCCCUCGCCGCAUCUGCACCCGUCCGUCCGUCCGUCUCGUGUAGGCCGCUCGUCACGGGCGAAGGUCCGGGUCUGCUCCGGCCGGUGUUGGACUCGUCUUCCGCCUCGCACAAGUGCAAAAAGACAAACAGCACUCAGUUGCAUGCGGUUCACUUGUGUCGACGUACUCAUUACCUGCCCCCUCCCUGGUCUUGUGGGUGCGGCCCGGUCCCUCUCGGUGCGGGCUGGCGCUCGUCCCAUCCGCUGCCCCGGCAACCCUGAAAGGCAGA